UGAGCAAGAGUGCAGCCGACAUCAUCGCUC
rnacentral:piRNA from 1 species